rnacentral:rRNA from 1 species
AACCCUAAACGGUGGAUCACUAGGCUCGCAGAUCGAUGAAGAACGCAGCUAACUGCGCGUCAGAAUGUGAACUGCAGGAUACACGAACAUCCAUAUUUCGAACGCACAUUGCGGUCCAUGGGAAUUCCUUUCCCGGGACCACUCAUGGCUGAGGGUCGGU